rnacentral:rRNA from 1 species
UGCCAGCUCCUCGAGUGGUCGGGGCGAUUAUUGGGCCUAAAGCAUCCGUAGCCGGUUCUGUAGGUCCUCUGUUAAAUCCAACGGCUUAACCGUUGGCCCGCAGAGGAUACCGCAGGACUAGGAGGCGGGAGAGGCAGACGGUACUCUACGUGUAGGGGUAAAAUCCGUUUGAUCCGUAGAAGACCACCAGUGGCGAAGGCGGUCUGCCAGAACGCGCUCGACGGUGAGGGAUGAAAGCUGGGGGAGCGAACCGG